GAGUUUGAUCGUGGCUCAGAACGAACGCUGGCGGCGUGCUUAACACAUGCAAGUCGAACGAGAAAGAGUUCUUCGGAACUUGAGUAAAGUGGCGCACGGGUGAGUAACGCGUAGAUAACCUGCCCUGAUGUCUGGGAUAACCCUUCGAAAGGGGACUAAUACCGGAUACGCUGAUUUUCAUAAGGAGAAUCAGGAAAGAUGGCCUCUGAUAUAAGCUAUCGCAUUUGGAGGGGUCUGCGUACCAUUAGCUUGUUGGUGGGGUAACGGCCUACCAAGGCAACGAUAGUUAGCGGGUCUGAGAGGAUGAUCCGUCACACUGGCAC
rnacentral:rRNA from 1 species